GCAUUUAUUCAUCUGGAACUGAAUACUAUGUCUGAAGCAUUAAAUUGUAAAUCAGUUUAUCUAAAGAUAAAUUCACUCUAUUGAAUUUACUACCAAUUUCUGCCUCUUUUGAUGUCUAGUUUUUUCCAUUUUUGUAGACUUAUGAGAACUGUAACUUAGCUCUGAUUGAAAUAAGCUUUCCCAUUCUUUUAAGUUAAUGUAUCUUGCCAUACUAAAUGAAUAGAAAUGACAAAUGGAAAUCAAAAUUCUUUGGAUUUAAUGUAAACUCUCUAGCACUCAAAAAAUAAACAUAUCUAGGUUGAAAUUUGAUUCCUUUGCCAGUGCCAAACUUUUAGGGGAAACAAUAUUGUGUA
rnacentral:lncRNA from 1 species